AUGCAAAGUUCAUGGCAAUUUUCAUCCCCGUGCUUGUUCAUAAACAGUAGCAAAUUUAUACUGUAUAAGGCUCUAUAUGACAAAUUUCACAUCAUAUGCUGUGGCACCUUUUUAUUUAAAAACAUGGCAAAUUUGCCAUGGCAACAUAAGAUUUUCAGAAACAUGGGAAACUUGCCACGUCAACUUAAUAUGUUCAAAAACAUGGCAAACUUGCCAUGGAAAAUUAAGAUGUUCAAAAAACAUGGAAAAUUAGUAUGUUCAAAAACAUGGCAAACUUGCCAUGACAAAAUUUACUUAUACAUAAAAGUCAAAUUACUUAUUGUAGUCUAUCAUGGCAAAUUAAACUUACUACUCUAUUUUGCCAUGGAAAAUUUAGCUAUAUUGCCAUUUCAAAUUUUACCUCUUAUUGCCAUGGCAAUUUUUAUGUUCUCUUUAUAA
rnacentral:rRNA from 1 species